rnacentral:rRNA from 1 species
AUUGAACGCUGGCGGCAGGCUUAACACAUGCAAGUCGAACGAGUGGCGGACGGGUGAGUAAUGCUUGGGAAACUGGCUUAUGGAGGGGGAUAACUACGGGAAACUGUAGCUAAUAACGCGUACCAUAGGAUGAGCCCAAGUGGGAUUAGGUAGUUGUGGGGUUAAAGGCUCACCAAGCCGACGAGCUCUAGCUGGUCUGAGAGGAUGACCAGCCAAACGGGGAUUGGUACACGGCCCAGACGCAUACGGGAGGCAGCAGUGGGGAAUAUUGCGAAAUGGGGGCAACCUGACGCAGCCAUGCCGCGUGAAUGAAGAAGGCCAUCGGGUUGUAAAGUUCUUUCGGUAGCGAGGCGUUAACUACAGAAGAAGCACUGGCUAACUCCGUGCCAGCAGCCGCGGUAAUAC